AAGAUCAUUUUCCUGGAAAUACUUUAUGACCGAAAGGACAUACUAAGUUUAUUGAUUGUAUAGAAAUUGGAAUAAUUUAAAAGUAGCGUGCAAACACCGUAGAGUCCUUGACUUUUUUUUUUUAAUGCCUCUCAUCUGAUGCAAGCUUCACCUAAAGAGCCACGGAGGAAGGGAAGUAGCAAGAGAUUUUUUUCUGUGAGGGGAAAGAGACUGACCGGGAUGACACAAAAGCAGGAAGCUUCCUAAAUUAGCUAGAAGGCUAACUCAAAUCACACACCAUCCCACCAGAAGAGGCAGACUUUGGACCACAGGGGAAACUGAGGCCCAGUGGCACACCUGUCUCCAGAGAAGAUGGUCCCCACAAGAUAAAAGAAGGAGGAAGAGAAGAGAAGAGAGCUGGGAUGCAGAAAGAAGGAG